rnacentral:rRNA from 1 species
UACAGAGGGGGCAAGCGUUGUUCGGAAUUACUGGGCGUAAAGGGCGCGUAGGCGGCCUGCUAAGUCGAACGUGAAAUCCCCGGGCUCAACCCGGGAACUGCGUCCGAUACUGGUUGGCUUAAAUCCGGGAGAGGGAUGCGGAAUUCCAGGUGUAGCGGUGAAAUGCGUAGAUAUCUGGAGGAACACCGGUGGCGAAGGCGGCAUCCUGGACCGGCAUUGACGCUGAGGCGCGAAAGCCAGGGGAGCAAACGGG